rnacentral:rRNA from 1 species
GACGAACGCUGGCGGCGUGCUUAACACAUGCAAGUCAAGGGGGCCCGCAAGGGCAACCGGCGAACGGGUGCGUAACACGUGAGCAACCUGCCUUAGUGUGGGGGAUAGCCGGCCCAACGGCCGGGUAAUACCGCAUACGAUUCUCGAGAGGAGUCUCUUGGGAAGGAAACCUUUUGGGCACUAAGAGGGGCUCGCGGCCUAUCAGCUAGUUGGCGGGGUAAUGGCCCACCAAGGCGACGACGGGUAGCUGGCUGAGAGGAUGGCCAGCCACAUUGGGACUGAGAGACGGCCCAGACUCCUACGGGAGGCAGCAGUGGGGAAUCUUGCGCAAUGGCCGAAAGGCUGACGCAGCGACGCCGCGUGUGGGAUGACGCC